rnacentral:misc_RNA from 1 species
AGCAGCCGCGGUAAUUCCAGCUCCAAUAGCGUAUAUUAAAGUUGUUGCAGUUAAAAGCUCGUAGUUGAAUUUCGGGGUUAGUAGGUUGGUCAUGCCUCUGGUAUGUACUGGUCUCACUGAUUCCUCCUUCCUGAUGAGCCGUAAUGCCAUUAAUUUGGUGUUGGCGGGAAUUGGACUGUUACUUUGAAAAAUUGAGUGUUUAAAGCAGGCUAACGCUUGAAUACAUUAGCAUGGAAUAAUAGAAAUA